AUUUAUUCUACAAUUUUUGAGUGGGUUAAGAAGCUUUACUUCUCGAGAGUUUUCUUAACUGUUGAGUUUGAAUUUUUGUUUUGAAUAAUUUUGCAAAACUUUUUGAAGUCGUGUCCGUUAAAAUCAACAAUUUUUUACAUGAAUUCUAUUUCAUUCCAUACUUUAAAUGCCAGGACGCUUUCAAUUAAUGCCUAGUCUACUCAUUUACUAUAUUUUCUCGUUUGUUUUACUAAUUUUUGACCAAUUAAUAAGCAUGUUUUUGUUUUAGAAAUUGAUAUUCAAAUUCCCCGCCAUAUUUUCAUAAUUUGGUGCAUGCGCAGACGUUUUUCCGCGGUGUUCGCUCACGUAUACUCCAAGCUUCCGUUUCUCGCGCACGCGUAGAGAAAAGCCUUCUCUCUUUAAAUCUUUACAUUGGCAUAAAGGGAAAGAAUACAUAUAAUGUUAUAUAUAUAUGCUAUUGCGUAUUUUCAUGCAAACCUACUACUAGAAAAUACAUCCAUGCAGAAACCCUCGCCUUGCCGACAAAACCAUUGUAUAAUUUUCCGAACAUGAAGUAUUCAACCCAUGGAGCCGCAAUGUGCCCUACUUAUUUUUUUAGUGCGCCAGUACGCCCUACUUAUUUCUUUACUUGUCUCACGCCAGACGAUUUCACUCGUCAAUGGGAAGCUACGC